UACGAGAGGCCCAACCGUUAUUCGGAUUUACUGGGCUUAAAGAGUUCGUAGGCGGUCCGUCAAGUGGGGUGUGAAAGCCCUCGGCUCAACCGAGGAAUUGCGCUCCAAACUGUCGGGCUCGAGGGAGAUAGAGGUGAGCGGAACUGAUGGUGGAGCGGUGAAAUGCGUUGAUAUCAUCAGGAACACCAGAGGCGAAGGCGGCUCACUGGGUCUCUUCUGACGCUGAGGAACGAAAGCUAGGGGAGCAAACGGG
rnacentral:rRNA from 1 species